AAAGCAUCCGGCUCGAUUCUAUUGUAAUCCGUUGAUAGACAAUAUCGUUGUUCAAUCCCUCGAAAUCUGUCUUGGAUGAUAUGAUGUUCAGCUCAUUUUUCUCCAAGAACGAACGAUCCAACUUAUGCAGAUCUCUUAAGACUCCUUAAAUAGAUGUCGAAUUGUUAUUCUCCAGAAGUAUAACAGUAACGACAAAAAGACAAUUCCAAAAAUGAAUCCUUGUUGAUCGUCGACUGGAUACCAUUGUGACUUAAGUAGGGACAGAUUAACUUGUGCAGACCAGUAAACGAGUCUUUGGAUGUAUUGUUUGACAGCCAGUCACAAUUGUGCCAAUUCUGAGAACAAAUUUGGCGAGAGAGGUAUCAGAUUAUUGUCCAAGUCUAGACGUUUUUAUUUUUGCA